ensembl:misc_RNA 7SK 7SK RNA
GAGUGAGAGCACUAUCUGGCUGCGAAAUCUAUCACCCCAUUGAUGAUCAGAGUUGAUUUGGCAGGUCUGGCUGGCUAAGUGGGUGUCCCCCUUCCUCCCUCACUGCUCCAUGUGUGUCCCUCUCAAAGCCUUUGUCAAAGAGGACUGCCUUCCCGGAAUACUGACUGGCCUGCCUUCCUGGAAUAGAGACUGACUAAUCUCUCUGAACUCAAAUCAUCUCCAGUGGCAGAUAUAGGAGUAACUGUGCUCCUCUGCUCAAACCUCCAAACAAGCACUCAAGAAAAAUAGCUUUCUGAAGUAGUCAGUAAUUAUUUCUGAAAAUAAUUAUGGUGAUAAAAAGAGCGUUUUCCCACUGUUUGUU